rnacentral:misc_RNA from 1 species
CUGUUCGAGCGUCAUUAUAACCAAUCAAGCCUGGCUUGGUGUUGGGGUUCGCGGUCUCGCGGCCCUUAAAAUCAGUGGCGGUACUGCACUGUGUGCCUAGCGUAGUAAUUCUUCUCGCUAUGGUGCCGGGCAGUCUCCUCCAGAACUCCCCCCCCUUUACGGUUGACCUCGGAUCAGGUAGGGAUACCCGCUGAACUUAA